rnacentral:rRNA from 1 species
AUUGAACGCUGGCGGCAGGCCUAACACAUGCAAGUCGAACGAGUGGCGGACGGGUUAGUAAUGUCUGGGAAACUGCCCGAUGGAGGGGGAUAACUACUGGAAACGGUAGCUAAUACCGCAUACCAUCGGAUGUGCCCAAAUGGGAUUAGCUAGUAGGUGGGGUAACGGCUCACCUAGGCGACGAUCCCUCGCUGGUCUGAGAGGAUGAACAGCCACACUGGAACUGAGACACGGUCCAGACUCCUACGGGGGGCAGCAGUGGGGAAGAUUGCACAAUGGGCGCAAGCCUGAUGCAGCCAUGCCGCGUGUAUGAAGAAGGCCUUCGGGUUGUAAAGUACUUUCAGCGAGAAGGCGUUACUCGCAGAAGAAGCACCGGCUAACUCCGUGCCAGCCGCCGCGGUAAUUC